CAGCCGCCGCGGUAAUACGAAGGGGGCUAGCGUUGUUCGGAUUUACUGGGCGUAAAGCGCGCGUAGGCGGACUUUUAAGUCAGGGGUGAAAUCCCGGGGCUCAACCCCGGAACUGCCUUUGAUACUGGAAGUCUUGAGUAUGGUAGAGGUGAGUGGAAUUCCGAGUGUAGAGGUGAAAUUCGUAGAUAUUCGGAGGAACACCAGUGGCGAAGGCGGCUCACUGGACCAUUACUGACGCUGAGGUGCGAAAGCGUGGGGAGCAAACAGGAUUAGAUACCCGCGUAGUCCCUGUCUCUUAUAA
rnacentral:rRNA from 1 species